ensembl:lncRNA hemogen
GGCUGUCAGAGCCAUGACCUCCUUUUUUUACUUUCUUCUGUGAGUAUUGUGCCAAGUUCUCCACCUUUGCAAAUAAGAUAAGAGCACAACUGCAAGAACUCUCCCAGCUCUGCGGUAAUGUUUAACCAGAUAAUUAUUCUCUUAGCAGCAGGAAAAGUAAAUGGGCACAAUUUUUUUCAGCCCUGUCAUUUCAAUACUUCAUAUUCAUGUGACAGGACAACAAAAUGGAAGAGACACUGGAGAAAGAGAUCCCGCCAUCUGAAGUAAAAGAUUCUAAUGAAGGUGGAAUUCGGCUGCGAUUGAGAGACAGAGACCUGUUGAAGAAACGAAAGGCUGAGGCAGAGGAAAAGGCAACCAACCAGGCACAAAGUCUUAAAAGAGUGAAAAAGAAGACCAGUGGUACCCCAGGAAGGAAAGGUCGACCAAGAAAAGAACCGCCUGUAGUUAUUCCAGAAGAUCUCGGUCUGGCUCAGGAAACAGAUCCUUUUCCUGUCACACUUCUUAUCACAGAACCUGUAUUACCCACAAUAGCAGAGACACUGCCUUUAUUACCAGCUGAGCCACAACCAGAGCCGGCGCCAGAGGAAACAAUGAGUGAAAAACCUCUGGAGGAGAUUCUGAUUGAGGAUCUGGGGCCUGAUGAGGAGGAAGACAUGCCUCAAAAAAGCCUUAUCAUUGAUACAGGUGAUGACGAGCUGCAAUGUGCUGACCUGAACAGUCCAGUCUCAAUGGCAGUGUAUCCUCCAGCAUCUGCUCCUUCUCAGCCUGAGAGUCUAUCUGAGAAUUUAAUCAUCUGAGUGUCUCCCUUCUACAGAAAAAUGAAUUUAAUCUAAUUUACUAUUUCAAAGGAUUUCUAAACCAAAACAAGGACAAGUCUAUAUUUAUUAAAAUUCUUCAUGUCUCCAUGUAUAUAUACCACUUAUCAGUACUCUGUCAAACAAAAUCCAUUCUAUACAUAUUGUUAAUAAAAUAAAAACCUGAAAUUGUUACAGUAUAGUACUUUUGUGUUCUAUGAUUUUAAAGCAACUAGAUCUUUGCCUUAAGCCU